UACGGAGGGUGCUAGCGUUGCUCGGAAUCACUGGGCGUAAAGCGCACGUAGGCGGACUCUUAAGUCGGUGGUGAAAUCCUGGAGCUCAACUCCAGAACUGCCUUCGAUACUGGGAGUCUCGAGUUCGGGAGAGGUGAGUGGAACUGCGAGUGUAGAGGUGAAAUUCGUAGAUAUUCGCAAGAACACCAGUGGCGAAGGCGGCUCACUGGCCCGAUACUGACGCUGAGGUGCGAAAGCGUGGGGAGCAAACAGG
rnacentral:rRNA from 1 species